ensembl:processed_transcript Gm15680 predicted gene 15680
AAACUAUAAGAAUUUCCUCAUCUAUAACAAAGAAGACAGAGCAAAAUAGUCAUACAUGAGUUUAGAGUGCAAAGUCACCUUCUCUGCAUGUAUUUAGUCAAAUAUUAAAACUGUCAUUUUCAGUACUAUCCAUCAUACUGAGGCAUCACACUACCCACCCUGAAACAAAAUCUAAAAGGACUCAGUGCUUGUUAUAUUAAUUUCUAUAUCAGGACAGUGAUUAGAUAAAGGAAGACCAUAACUCACUGUCUACUAAUAUCCUUCCUUGGCUUGUCUUUCUGCUAUACAGUAAUGGCACCCAUCUUCCCUGUCCUCUCACUUUGGAGCUCACGAAGUCUGUUAGACAAAAAUAAACAAGCCACACAACAACAACAAAAGCACUGAUAACUCUCUCAGUGAAGCACAAGACUAUGGAGCCAAAAAAGACUUUCUUCUCUCAUCUAGGAUUAUUAUGGUCUGUGGA